rnacentral:rRNA from 1 species
AACGAACGCUGGCGGCGCGCCUAAUACAUGCAAGUCGAGCGAGAAGACGUAGCAAUACGUUUGUAAAGCGGCGAACGGGUGAGGAAUACAUGGGUAACCUACCCUCGAGUGGGGAAUAACUAGCCGAAAGGUUAGCUAAUACCGCGUACGCUCCUUGGACUUCGGUUCAGGGAGGAAAGCCGAUACCGUGGGUAUCGCGCUCUUGGAUGGGCUCAUGUCCUAUCAGCUUGUUGGUGAGGUAACGGCUCACCAAGGCUUCGACGGGUAGCUGGUCUGAGAGGACGAUCAGCCACACUGGCACUGCGACACGGGCCAGACUCCUACGGGAGGCAGCAGUAAGGAAUAUUGCGCAAUGGGCAAAGCCUGACGCAGCGACGCCGCGUGGGGGAU